AACGAACGCUGGCGGCAGGCUUUACACAUGCAAGUCGAACGCAUCGCAAGAUGAGUGGCAGACGGGCGAGUAACGCGUGGGAACAUACCCUUUUCUACGGAAUAGCACGGGGAAACUGGAAUGAAUACCGUAUACGCUCUACGGGGGAAAGAUUUAUCGGGGAAGGAUUGGCCCGCGUUGGAUUAGGUAGUUGGUGGGGGAAAGGCCUACCAAGGCGACGAUCCAUAGCUGGUCUGAGAGGAUGAUCAGCCACAUUGGGACUGAGACACGGCCCAAACUCCUACGGGAGGCAGCAGUGGGGAAUAUUGGACAAUGGGCGCAAGCCUGAUCCAGCCAUGCCGCGUGAGUGAUGAAGGCCUUAGGGUUGUAAAGCUCUUUCACCGAUGAAGAUAAUGACGGUAGUCGGAGAAGAAGCCCCGGCUAACUUCGUGCCAGCCGCCGCAGUAA
rnacentral:rRNA from 1 species